UACGGAGGGUGCAAGCAUUAAUCGGAUUUAUUGGGCGUAAAGGGCGCGUAGGCGGAAGUGAAAGUCAGAUGUGAAAUCCCGUGGCUCAACCACGGAAUGGCCUCGAUACUGGACGGCUGGAGACCGGAAGAGGUGAGUGGAAUUCCGAGUGUAGAGGUGAAAUUCGUAGAUAUUCGGAAGAACACCAGUGGCGAAGGCGACUUACUGGACACAUAUUGACGCUGAGGCGCGAAAGCCAGGGAGCAAAGCGGG
rnacentral:rRNA from 1 species